rnacentral:tRNA from 1 species
GCCUGUUUAGCAUAGUCGUUAUUGCGCGGCACUUGUACUGCCCGGUGGUCAUGCCGAGGUCGCUGGUUCAAAUCCGGCAAUGGGCU